GCACCACUGAAGAGUCCCACAAUCGGGACGAAACGGUCGUCCAGUGC
rfam:Schistosoma rodhaini strain Burundi genome assembly, scaffold: SROB_scaffold0000819